CAUGCAUCGUUUCCUUUGAUUGAGAAAUUGCUUAGAAAGAAUAAGCUCCCGUUUGUUGGUGAGCGUAAUUGUGAAACUAUUUGUGACUCAUGCCAGCGUGCUAAAAGUCAACAGUUACCUUAUCCCAUAUCUACAAGUGUUUCUACCAAGCCUCUUGAACUCAUUUUCUCUGAUGUUUGGGGUCCUGCGCCUACUUCAGUUGGGCGCCACACUUAUUAUGUCAGCUUCAUCGAUGAUUUUAGUAAGUACACGUGGAUUUAUCUCCUCAAAAAGAGAUCUGAUGUGUUUCAAGUUUUUCACAACUUUCAAGCACUUGUAGAAAGAAAGUUCAACUGCAAAAUUCUGGCUAUCCAAUCUGAUUGGGGAGGGGAAUACAGAAACCUCAAUUCCUUCUUCCAACAGAUUGGCAUAUCUCACCACAUAUCGUGUCCUCAUGCUCACCAACAGAACGGGUCCGCUGAGCGUAAGCAUAGGCACAUCAUCGAAGUAGGUCUAGCUCUUCUUGCAGCUACCUCUAUGCCAUUAAAUUCUGGGAUGAAGCUUUUCUCACCGUAG
rnacentral:rRNA from 1 species